UGAGGGUCUCUUCCUGUAUGAGGGUCUCU
rnacentral:piRNA from 1 species